rnacentral:misc_RNA from 1 species
GGUCCAUCAGAUAAGGAUCACUUACAUUGUGACUACUGUGGGAAAUCUUGGCACACCAAAGAACAGUGUUAGAAGUUGCACGGCCGCCCAACUAAAAGGCAUGGAGGAAAAAGGAUGGGCUUUACUAGAUCACAAGCUAAUAUAUCUGGGCUGUGAAUCUGUCUGAAGAUACUACCACCACUGAGAUGUUUUCCAAUAAAGAGGUACAGACUCUAAGGCGUU